rnacentral:lncRNA from 1 species
UGGCUUCCGGUCCCCUGAGACUGGGGCCUCGCUCGCUCCCGACCCGGUUGCAAGUGUUGCGGUGGGAGAAAGUCGCGUCCGCAUCGGAGGGGAAGCGCCGUCAUGCCUAAGUAUUAUGAGGACAAGCCGCAGGGCGGCGCGUGCGCGGGCCUGAAGGAGGACCUGGGCGCGUGUCUGCUGCAGUCGGACUGUGUGGUCCAGGUAGCGCGGCCGGGCGCUCCCGGUGGUGACGACCCCUGUCCCAGGAAGGAAAAUCACCUCGGCAGUGUUUGAAGGAAGGAUACUGCAACUCUUUGAAGUACGCAUUUUUUGAGUGUAAAAGAUCAGUGUUGGAUAACAGGGCAAGAUUCAGAGGAAGAAAAGGAUAUUGAUGCAUUAUGUUGAAGCCAACAUGGAAAACAACAAAUAUUUUCCCUGGUCAUUAACACAAAGAAGCCAAAACAGGAAACAUACUUUUUACUACAUCUGUUUGGUUGGACCAGAUUUCCCCUCCGUGGAACACUGAAGAAAGUGGAUGAGUUGUUUUCGAAUAUGUAUAAAGUAAAUGAUUCUCUUGAUCCAAGUUAUUUUUAGAAGAAAAACCUAAUUGAACAGGUAUGGGUUGGGAGCAUAAUAAAUGUGUUUUGAGAAUUGUUCUAAAGCACAGAAAAUGGAAAGACUGUUAUUUGCAAACUUGACUCUUCAAUUGAAUUACCCAAUUAGUACAGGCCACUGAUUUGACUGACACAGUCGAUAACAUGCAGCCUAUCCAGAAGGUGUCUGUUGGGAAA